GUAAAGUUGCCCGCGGGGAGAUCUGGGCUCGUCUUCGCUUCGGGCCGGGCAUGUUCCUCGAAUGCCGACCCCAGGAAUUCCACGGCCCGAGAUGACACAUGGGAGCUGAGCUGGCAGACACAUCAUCCCUUAUUAUCACACAGACCCACCGGACCCUCCAUGCAGGGGACACAGAUGAGCAGGUCAUGCUGCUGGAAUGUGGACUGGGACAGGUGGAAAGGGACAUAUAGGGGGGAAGGGAGGCCCUGUUGCAUCAUCCCUGUCCACUCUGCUGCAGUUUCCUUCAUAAUUGUCUGCUGGCAAACCUCCGACAAGAACUCUGGAUCCUGCGCCUUGUUGUGUUUGGCCGCAGUGAUUAUUUUCUUAGAAAGAACAUCUUUAUUGAUAAAACUUCAUCUUUUGUCCAGGGCUGUUUUGCUUGCUGUUUUGUUUGGUUUGCCAGUCUGCGACGAGAACUCUGUCUCCCUCCUGACUUGUGAAAGAUACAUAAUAUUAAUGAUGAUAUUUUUGUUUUUGAAGAAAAUAAUGUUUGUUUUCAUAGAAGCAGUUACUGGAACUAAGAUACAAAAGCAAAAAAAUGAAAUACAGUGGUAUGUUUCCGUUUCCGUUUUAUAUACGUUUUGACAUAUGUCAUUUCCAUUCUAUAGUUUUGGUCAUAAAAAUAAAUCAUGUGUUUUCUGCUUUUUGAAAUGACCUACAAAAGCAUUUCAAAUGGAUGCAUUUCAUAUAUACAGUAUUUGGCAGCAUUCAAUUGAUUGAGCUUUUUCAUGGCACACUAGCCUUAUUUUACUGUUACCAGUUUUAGUACCAUUUGUAUGUUGGAUGUCUGCUUUUCUAUUGUUUUAUCUGCAACAUUUCAUGCGGCCAUCUAAGCCAGUUCUCAUUUAAAAUUUAAAUCUGUUAAA